UACGGAGGGGACUAGCGUUGUUCGGAAUUACUGGGCGUAAAGCGCACGUAGGCGGAUUUGUAAGUCAGGGGUGAAAUCCCGGGGCUCAACCUCGGAACUGCCUUUGAUACUGCAAAUCUCGAGUCCGGAAGAGGUGAGUGGAAUUCCUAGUGUAGAGGUGAAAUUCGUAGAUAUUAGGAAGAACACCAGUGGCGAAGGCGGCUCACUGGUCCGGUACUGACGCUGAGGCACGAAAGCGUGGGGAGCAAACAGGG
rnacentral:rRNA from 1 species